rfam:Gossypium raimondii chromosome 12, whole genome shotgun sequence.
AGUCCAUGGUGUGGGCAUUUUUUUAGCAUUGUCUUGAAACGUUCCUAUGCUUCGUACAGAGAUUCUCCUUCAAGUUGUUUAAAAUUGGCGAUUUCUCACCUUAGUUG